CAAAAAAUAAUUUAAAACCGAACCAAUAUCUAGAUUAAACAGAUUUAAUGUGUUUUUAUUAAAAAUAACGAAACUAAUAAUCACAUCCCGCGCAAGGCGCGGGUUAUUACCUAGUAUAUUAUUAUUACUAAUGGGCUUUUUAAUUGCUAAUGAAAGACUAAAUAUAACUAAUUACUAAAUGGGUUUUCCAAUAAUCCAUGUUAAACCAAAAAUAAAAACAACAAAGCCAAAUUAUAUGUUUAACAACUUUACGCAGGAAAAAACAGUUACACGAUGAAAAAAAAAACUAUGAUCGACAAUCGAAAGAGAAAAGUCUAGGGUUGCAAAGGAAAAAGAUGGAGAUAUUCGGCGAGUUCCUGGGAGAAUUUGGUACGAUUUCUAUGUAAUCUGGAAUUAGAAGAUGUAAAGCCUUGAUUAAUCGACUCCAUCAAGUUGAUCUUCAUCUUGAUUGUGUACGAAAUCGAGGCAUAGAAGAAGAAACAGUAGACAUCGAAUAAAUGAAUUGAAGAAACCAGGUCGCAUGAGUCUACGGUGAUGUUGCCUGUAUAGAAAGCACGAGUCAUAUUGUGAUGGAGAGAGUAAUUAGAGGAGAUCCGUAAACAGCAAAGCACGAAGAGGUUUCCGACAUAAAAACAAAAGAUAAGUACUCCUUUAUUGAUAUCUGCAACAAUUUCUGGUGAGUAGUAUGAUUUAACUUAGAGAUUGUUUAGAUAGUUUGAAUGUAUUAUAUCAUUUGUUUUUGAUUGCCUAAUGUUACUAUAAAAAUGUUAAGCUCGGUGAAGUGUGUUAAGUAUGUUUGGUCUAAUAUAUUAGAUUGCAUUUGUUUGAUCACCUGAGACUGGUUUUGUAAGAUAGAUGAGAAAAAUUUAUGAUACUUUUUUAGUAUCUGUCGGCCUGAUGCUUUAAUUUGACUGUACUCUUGAUAGACAAGUAGUCAUUGAUAUUUUCAUUUUAAUUGCUAACCAAAUUGUCUGUUUUGGCAAUCUUAAGUGCCGUUUUGUACCAAUUGUACAUCCUAUGUAUUGUUUUCACUGUUGUAGCAAUAAAAAAACUGCUAAAUUCCUAUUCAACUAAUUUGAACACUGAUUUAUAUUAGUAAAAUAUACAUUGAAGUCUUACUAAAACUGAAUAUAUGGUCUGCAAGUCAUAGAAUUCAGUUAUUUGAAACUCUUAAACUAACAGAUGGAAGCUCCUCUAUUCAAACUGCACAUUGAAGCUGACAACAGAUCGUUUAAAACACCACAAGAUUACAAGUGAAAGUGAUGAAAAGAUCUGGAAAUCCAAAAUGCUUACAUACGGUCAUAACAUCCAAGUAAAGAUUCUUCAUAUAUCUAGGACUUCAUGUGAACGAAGAUGGUAACAUUAACUACGAUCCUUGAUCACUCAUAUCGACCUUUCCUGCAUUCUCAGACUCUUUGAUAGAGUCAUAACUAUCAGAUUGCGAAGUAGGUUGAUUAAAUCUCAUAUAGCGAAGGCGAUUAUACUCUAUAGUAGUAUAGGCAUCCACCAUGAACUGCUGAAACAGUCUUCUCAAAUGCAACAAACAAUGAGACUCAUUCUUGCGUUCAUGAAGACGAAAAGCAAAGAACUGUCACAUACUGAUAUUAGGAUUCUUCUGUUUCUUUGUAGCUUUUGUUACACCUUUCUUAAUACUAAGUCUGAAUCCAUCUUCUCCAUAA